UACGGAGGGGGCUAGCGUUGUUCGGAAUUACUGGGCGUAGAGCGCGUGUAGGCGGCUCGGCAAGUCGGGUGUGAAAGCCCUGGGCUUAACCUAGGAAGUGCACUCGAAACUGCCAAGCUUGAGUUCUGGAGAGGAAGGCGGAAUUCUCGGUGUAGAGGUGAAAUUCGUAGAUAUCGAGAGGAACACCGGUGGCGAAGGCGGCCUUCUGGACAGCAACUGACGCUGAGACGCGAAAGCGUGGGGAGCAAACAGG
rnacentral:rRNA from 1 species